rnacentral:rRNA from 1 species
AGCGAACGCUGGCGGCAGGCUUAACACAUGCAAGUCGAACGGGCGUAGCAAUACGUCAGUGGCAGACGGGUGAGUAACACGUGGGAACGUACCUUUUGGUUCGGAACAACACAGGGAAACUUGUGCUAAUACCGGAUAAGCCCUUACGGGGAAAGAUUUAUCGCCGAAAGAUCGGCCCGCGUCUGAUUAGCUAGUUGGUAGGGUAACGGCCUACCAAGGCGACGAUCAGUAGCUGGUCUGAGAGGAUGAUCAGCCACAUUGGGACUGAGACACGGCCCAAACUCCUACGGGAGGCAGCAGUGGGGAAUAUUGGACAAUGGGCGCAAGCCUGAUCCAGCCAUGCCGCGUGAGUGAUGAAGGCCCUAGGGUUGUAAAGCUCUUUUGUGCGGGAAGAUAAUGACGGUACCGCAAGAAUAAGCCCCGGCUAACUUCGUGCCAGCAGCCGCGGUAAUACGAAGGGGGCUAGCGUUGCUCGGAAUCACUGGGCGUAAAGGGUGCGUAGGCGGGUUUUUAAGUCAGAGGUGAAAUCCUGGAGCUCAACUCCAGAACUGCCUUUGAUACUGGGAAUCUUGAGUAUGGAAGAGGUGAGUGGAACUGCGAGUGUAGAGGUGAAAUUCGUAGAUAUUCGCAAGAACACCAGUGGCGAAGGCGGCUCACUGGUCCAUAACUGACGCUGAGGCACGAAAGCGUGGGGAGCAAACAGGAUUAGAUACCCUGGUAGUCC